rfam:Pedobacter cryoconitis strain PAMC 27485, complete genome.
GAUUUAUAAAGAAGUGGCGAGAGACAGGCUCCGUGACCCACUGGCAACCCUCCCAAAUGGAGAAGGUGCCAAUUCCUGACCAGUUUGCAUAGUGUAUUCUGGAAAGAUAAAUU